AUUGAACGCUGGCGGCAGGCCUAACACAUGCAAGUCGAGCGGAUGAAGGGAGCUUGCUCCUGGAUUCAGCGGCGGACGGGUGAGUAAUGCCUAGGAAUCUGCCUGGUCGUGGGGGAUAACGUCCGGAAACGGGCGCUAAUACCGCAUACGUCCUGAGGGAGAAAGUGGGGGAUCUUCGGACCUCACGCUAUCAGAUGAGCCUAGGUCGGAUUAGCUAGUUGGUGGGGUAAAGGCCUACCAAGGCGACGAUCCGUAACUGGUCUGAGAGGAUGAUCAGUCACACGGGAACUGAGACACGGUCCAGACUCCUACGGGAGGCAGCAGUGGGGAAUAUUGGACGAUGGGCGAAAGCCUGAUCCAGCCAUGCCGCGUGUGUGAAGAAGGUCUUCGGAUGGUAAAGCACUUUAAGUUGGGAGGAAGGGCAGUAAGUUAAUACCUUGCUGUUUUGACGUUACCAACAGAAUAAGCACCGGCUAACUUCGUG
rnacentral:rRNA from 1 species